rnacentral:miRNA from 1 species
UACACUACAUCUUUUCUUGGACU